rnacentral:rRNA from 1 species
UACGUAGGGUGCAAGCGUUGUCCGGAAUUAUUGGGCGUAAAGAGCUCGUAGGCGGUCUGUCGCGUCGGCUGUGAAAACCCGGGGCUCAACCCCGGGCCUGCAGUCGAUACGGGCAGACUAGAGUGCGGUAGGGGAGACUGGGAUUCCUGGUGUAGCGGUGAAAUGCGCAGAUAUCAGGAGGAACACCGGUGGCGAAGGCGGGUCUCUGGGCCGAUACUGACGCUGAGGAGCGAAAGCGUGGGGAGCGAACAGG